GUCUCGCGGGAGGACACAUUGAACCCGGCUUUGCUGGAGGCAGCUCCACUGUCACGCUGCUGCCGAAGCGCCCUUUCCUCCUCUCUCAAGCCGACAGGCUUGCCUACAGCCCAGUCUCAUGAAGGCAUUUUCUCCACUGAGAAUCCCUCCUCUCGGACAACUUUAGCUGGUCUCAAGUUGACAUAAAACUAGCCACCACACCAGGUGGAGAACAUCACAGAAAUCCACAACUCGUCCAAAUGCAGAGAACAACUGACCAUGAGAAGGACAGUUUCAACGGAUACAUCUACCUCACAGCUCCUGCGCCUAAAGCUCAGGAAAUGUCUUGGCAGCGGAGAGUGGAAACAUUACAGGAGCCAGAGAACCAGGACUGCUGCUGUGAGACUGUGUUCCCUAGAAAUGACAGGAAGUUUCAACAAUAUGGAUGCCUACACAAAACCUGGACAUGUACAACCCCGACAAGGCACGCUGACAUGGAUAGGGGAAAUUUCACAGGGCCCCUGGCCAUAAACAAAGAGCACUGCAGUCAGCUAAGGCAUGCUGAGUGGGAGAGAAAUGAUCUCUCCAGGCAGAAGAUUGGCUAUCAAUCUGACUGGCUAUCAAUACCAACUGGUCAGUAAAGUCAUCUACACACAAGUAACACUAAAUGGACUGAGCAGGAUGUAUUUAUAUAUACAUACAUAUAUGUGUAUAUUUGUAACAGCGGUUAAAGAAAAUGAGGCCAUGAAUUUAUUGGGGGUUAGUAUGUAGGAAAGGUUGGAGGAAGAAAGGGAAAGGAGAAAAGAUACAAUUGUGUUUUAAUUUAAAAGAUCAUUUUAAAGCCGGGCAGUGGUGGCACAAGCCUUUAACUCUAGCACUC